GGAGAUGUACUCUCAAGGGCAUGCAGGGAGUAAGUAUCAGGGUGAGGACUGAAGCCAGACAAUAACUAAAUCCAUCACCGAUACACACUCCACUGUCCCACUGAGGGGACACAUGGACAGCUUCCUUUCCUCACCAGUGGCCCAACAGAUGAAGCCAACCUACUUUUAAGGACUAGCCAGAUGGAUGUAAAAAAACAAAAAAAACAAACAAACAAACAAAAAAAAAAAAAAACAGAGGUCCUGUAGUCCAGUCACUCAAAAGGCUAAAACAGGAGGAUUGCCUUGAGUUUGAGGCCAGGCAGGGCUACUUAGUGAAUUCAAAGCCAGUCUGAGAUGCUUAUCACAACCAUAUAUAUAAUUAGUUCACAUACAAACCAUUAGUAUGUGAACGUUUUAAAAGCACUUUCACAAAGUUGAAUUUGCCUGACCCUUACGUCCUACAAAGACUCAGUAGAUAUAUUGUCUUACCUGUUACAUCCAUCUUGAAACUACUCUCCAUCUCCUGGUUCUAGACAACGAGUUCUAGUUGCCUUCUCAAUGAAGCACUCCAAGGCCUUCGUGCACAGCUCUCCCCAUAACCCAGCCACUAUAUGGAACAGGCUUGGUCUACAGGCCAGGGUGUUGGACUAGGUCAGACAAGGACUCACACGCACUGAGUAGAGGUGCCAGAGGUGGGGUCAAGAGCUGGUCAAGAAAGCUAAAAAGGGGUCUGAGGUGUCUUGGAUAGAAGACAUCCUGUAAGAGCUGCAUACCUCUGCACACAUGGGAAACACUAAUUUGACUUAAUGUUUAUUAAAACAAUUUUAAAACGAAGACAUUAAGAAGUAUGGGGGUAUGCGAGGGAGAUAUUAGGAGGUUGAAGGAAGGUAGUAAGUGCAAGAUAUGAUCGUGUUUCAUUGUGUACAUGGAUGAAAUUCUCAAGAAGAGAGAAAAAUUAUAAUAAUAAAAUAUUCC
rnacentral:lncRNA from 1 species